AAGCUAUAUUACCGUCUAUCAUCGUAAUUAUUUUUGUUAACGUCUUCUUUUAUGAAUGUAGUGAGACAUAUGAAAUAUCAAGUGACGAACUAGAUGAAUGGCUAGGGCAAAAUGUUGAUAAAUCUGCUGCAGAGGGGGAGAACCAAGCUGACAUGCGAUCGACAGAAGGUCGCUAUGUGUCGUCUGAAACAAUACCGGCUGUGAACUUGGGAAGUGAUGCUCCUUCCUCUCAAGGACGCACAGAAUAGAGUAGUGUAAACCAGCCGUCACAGAGCAU